UUUAUGGUUCUAUACGAUCUUAUCUCUGAUAAGAUAAUAUAACAAACAUAAGAUCCUGGUAGGAUAGGAUUCUGCCCAUGUACUCUGUGU